GCCCGUUUAGCAUAGUCGUUAUUGCGCGGCACUUGUACACCUUGUGUCAUGCCGAGGUCGCUAGUUCAAAUCUGGCAACGGGCA
rnacentral:tRNA from 1 species